UGGGGAAUAUUGGACAAUGGGCGAAAGCCUGAUCCAGCCAUGCCGCGUGUGUGAAGAAGGUCUUCGGAUUGUAAAGCACUUUAAGUUGGGAGGAAGGGCAGUAAGCGAAUACCUUGCUGUUUUGACGUUACCGACAGAAUAAGCACCGGCUAACUCUGUGCCAGCAGCCGCGGUAAUACAGAGGGUGCAAGCGUUAAUCGGAAUUACUGGGCGUAAAGCGCGCGUAGGUGGUUCGUUAAGUUGAAUGUGAAAGCCCCGGGCUCAACCUGGGAACUGCAUCCGAAACUGGCGGGCUAGAGUAGGGCAGAGGGUGGUGGAAUUUCCUGUGUAGCGGUGAAAUGCGUAGAUAUAGGAAGGAACACCAGUGGCGGAGGCGACCGCCUGGGCUCAUACUGACACUAAGGUGCGAAAGCGUGGAGAGCAAGCAGG
rnacentral:rRNA from 1 species